rnacentral:rRNA from 1 species
GCAUGUGGUUUAAUUCGAAGCAACGCGAAGAACCUUGCCAGGCCUUGACAUGCAGAGAACUUUCCAGAGAUGGAUUGGUGCCUUCGGGAACUCUGACACAGGUGCUGCAUGGCUGUCGUCAGCUCGUGUCGUGAGAUGUUGGGUUAAGUCCCGUAACGAGCGCAACCCUUGUGUUUAGUUGCAAACAGGUCAAGCUGUGCACUCUAGACAGACUGCCGUGGACAACACGGAGGAAGGUGGGGAUGACGUCAAAUCAUCAUGCCCCUUAUGAUCUGGGCUACACACGUGCUACAAUGGCCGGUACAACGGGCAGCGAAGGAGCGAUCCGGAGCGAAUCCUAAAAAGCCGGUCCCAGUUCGGAUUGCAGGCUGAAACUCGCCUACAUGAAGUUGGAGUUGCUAGUAAUCGCGAAUCAGAAUGUCGCGGUGAAUGCGUUCCCGGGUCUU